rnacentral:rRNA from 1 species
AAUGAACGCUGGCGGCGUGUCUUAAGCAUGCAAGUCGGGCGGCAAGCGGUAGCAAUACCGCCUAGAGCGGCGGACUGGUGAGUAACACGUGGGUGAUCUGCCUCGGGGUUGGGGAUAGCCAUUAGAAAUAGUGGGUAAUACCGAAUACGCUUCCACGAUUACGGUCAUGGAAGGAAAGGCGCUAAGGCGCCGACCUGAGAUGAGCCUGCGUCCCAUUAGCUAGUUGGUGAGGUAACGGCCCACCAAGGCGAUGAUGGGUAGGCGGCCUGAGAGGGUGUACGCCCACAUUGGGACUGAGAUACGGCCCAAACUCCUACGGGAGGCAGCAGCUAAGAAUAUUCCGCAAUGGACGAAAGUCUGACGGAGCGACGCCGCGUGGAUGAUGAAGGCCGGAAGGUUGUAAAAUCCUUUGUCGGGAGAAUAAGCAUGGGAGGGAAUGCCCGUGUGAUGACAUGAACCGGCGAAUAAGCCCCGGCUAACUACGUGCCAGCAGCCGAC